rnacentral:rRNA from 1 species
UACGUAGGGUGCAAGCGUUGUCCGGAAUUAUUGGGCGUAAAGAGCUCGUAGGCGGUUUGUCGCGUCUGCUGUGAAAACCGGAGGCUCAACCUCCGGCCUGCAGUGGGUACGGGCAAACUAGAGUGCGGUAGGGGAGAUUGGAAUUCCUGGUGUAGCGGUGGAAUGCGCAGAUAUCAGGAGGAACACCGAUGGCGAAGGCAGAUCUCUGGGCCGUAACUGACGCUGAGGAGCGAAAGCGUGGGGAGCGAACAGG